rnacentral:lncRNA from 1 species
AUAAGACAUUUCCUACACGGUGGUGUAUAUAAUUUAGGAAGAACUUCAAAUACCACCUAUGUGGUUUCACACUUUUUUACUUUAGUACUCUAUAGUUUAAAGUGUAUCAAUUUAGUUCGCUGUUAUUUUAUUUUUAUCUUUUUUAUUAUUGAUUCCACUAAUUUUUUUCGUUAAAUCAGUGAUAAAGUUACAAUUAAAGGAUACUAAAGUAAAUAUUCGAUAAACCUAGGUGAGUUAUCUGAAGUUUUUUUGUACAUAAUUUAACGAAAUAUUAACGAAAAAAUUGACGAAAAAAUAAAAAUAAAACCACAGGAUACUAACUUGAUACGUUUUAAACCACAUGGUACUAAAGCAAAAAAGUGUAAAAUCAUAGGAGUGGUAUUUGAAGUUUAUCCUAUAAUAUAAUUAAUUCUUGCAUAGAUAAAUUGUACUAAUUAUUUCUGAAUAAAUUUUUUAUUAAUAGCUUUU